AGCUCCAAUAGCGUAUAUUAAAGUUGUUGCUGUUAAAAAGCUUGUAGUUGAACUUGUGGCCUGGAUGGCUCGGUCUGACGCUUAUGUGUGAGCACCUGAGCCAUAAAACCAUUCUUUGGUGGAACCUGUGUGGCAUUAAGUUAUCGUGUAGGGGAUGCCCAUCGUUUACUGUGAAAAAUUAGAGUGUUCAAAGCAGGCUUAUGCCUUUGAAUAUAUUAGCAUGGAAUAAUGAUAUAGGACUUUGGUACUAUUUUGUAGGUUUGCGCACUAAAGUAAUGAUUAAUAGGGACAGUUGGGGAUAUUGGUAUUUUUAGGUUAGAGGUGAAAUUCUUGGAUUCUUUAAAGACUAACUACUGCAAAAUCAUUUAUCAAGGAUGUUUUCA
rnacentral:rRNA from 1 species